rnacentral:rRNA from 1 species
AACGAACGCUGGCGGCAUGCCUAACACAUGCAAGUCGAACGAAGGCUUCGGCCUUAGUGGCGCACGGGUGCGUAACGCGUGGGAAUCUGCCUUUUGCUUCGGAAUAACAGUUAGAAAUGACUGCUAAUACCGGAUGAUGUCUUCGGACCAAAGAUUUAUCGGCAAGAGAUGAGCCCGCGUAGGAUUAGGUAGUUGGUGGGGUAAAGGCCUACCAAGCCGACGAUCCUUAGCUGGUCUGAGAGGAUGAUCAGCCACACUGGGACUGAGACACGGCCCAGACUCCUACGGGAGGCAGCAGUGGGGAAUAUUGGACAAUGGGGGCAACCCUGAUCCAGCAAUGCCGCGUGAGUGAUGAAGGCCUUAGGGUUGUAAAGCUCUUUUACCCGGGAUGAUAAUGACAGUACCGGGAGAAUAAGCUCCGGCUAACUACGUGCCAGCCGCCGCGGUAACAC